rnacentral:sRNA from 1 species
CAUCUUGCUUAUGCAGACUGCUCUUUAGCUGUGGUUUCUUAUCUUCAGAACUCUGCAGAUGCUGAUGGGAGACCUUUAACUCUGAAGGACAUAUGGGAAGGAGUUCAUGAGUGCUAUAAGAUGCGACUGCUACAGGGACCAUGGGACACUAUUACACAACAGGAACAUCCAAUACUUGGGCAACCCUUUUUUGUACUUCAUCCCUGCAAGACGAAUGAAUUCAUGACUCCUGUAUUAAAGAAUUCUCAGAAAAUCAAUAAGGCCAAAAGAGAAACAUUGGCUACUUUGACAACCUUAAAGCGGACUCCAGGAAUAUCACCAACGGCAUGACCUUUGCGACCAAAUCCAGCAACCAGAACUUCAUCAUUUUCCUGGAAUAAAAUAAGAAGUUUAUUUCUGGUGUCGGUGGCGAU